rnacentral:rRNA from 1 species
AGAGUUUGAUCCUGGCUCAGGAUGAACGCUAGCGGCAGGCUUAACACAUGCAAGUCGAGGGGUAACAGGGGAGCUUGCUUCUGCUGACGACCGGCGCACGGGUGAGUAACGCGUAUGCAAUCUACCUUUAACAGGAGGAUAGUCCUAAGAAAUUGGGAUUAAUACUCCAUAGUAUAUAUUUGAGGCAUCUCGAAUAUAUUAAAGCUCCGGCGGUUAAAGAUGAACAUGCGUGCCAUUAGGUAGUUGGUAAGGUAACGGCUUACCAAGCCAACGAUGGCUACGGGGUCUUAAAGGAUGAUCCCGCACACUGGUACUGAGACACGGACCAGACUCCUACGGGAGGCAGCAGUGAGGAAUAUUGGUCAAUGGGGGCAACCCUGAACCAGCCAUGCCGCGUGAAGGAUGACUGCCCUAUGGGUUGUAAACUUCUUUUAUGUAAGAAUAACUAUGUCCACGUGUGGAUAUUUGCAGGUAUUACAUGAAUAAGCAUCGGCUAACUCCGUGCCAGCAGCCGCGGUAAUACGGAGGAUGCGAGCGUUAUCCGGAUUUAUUAGGUUUAAAGGGUGCGUAGGCGGAAUAUUAAGUCAGUGGUGAAAUCCUGAAGCUCAACUUCAUAAUUGCCAUUGAUACUGAUGUUCUUGAGUUAGGUUGAAGUAGGCGGAAUGUGUAAUGUAGCGGUGAAAUGCAUAGAUAUUACACAGAACACCGAUUGCGAAGGCAGCUUACUAAACCUUUACUGACGCUGAUGCACGAAAGCGUGGGGAGCGAACAGGAUUAGAUACCCUGGUAGUCCACGCCGUAAACGAUGUUCACUGGCUGUAUGCGCUACAUUGUAUGCGGCUGAGCGAAAGCAUUAAGUGAACCACCUGGGGAGUACGUCGGCAACGAUGAAACUCUAAGGAAUUGACGGGGGCCCGCACAAGCGGAGGAACAUGUGGUUUAAUUCGAUGAUACGCGAGGAACCUUACCUGGGCUUAAAUGUAGAGUGCAUAGAGUGGAAACAUUCUUUUCCUACGGGACUCUUUACAAGGUGCUGCAUGGCUGUCGUCAGCUCGUGCCGUGAGGUGUCGGGUUAAGUCCCAUAACGAGCGCAACCCCUAUUGUUAGUUGCCAGCGGGUAAUGCCGGGAACUCUAAUGAGACUGCCACCGUAAGGUGUGAGGAAGGUGGGGAUGACGUCAAGUCAGCACGGCCCUUACGUCCAGGGCUACACACGUGUUACAAUGGUCGAUACAAAGGGCAGCUACCUGGCAACAGGAUGCUAAUCUCUAAAGUCGGUCUCAGUUCGGAUCGAAGUCUGCAACUCGACUUCGUGAAGCUGGAUUCGCUAGUAAUCGCGCAUCAGCCACGGCGCGGUGAAUACGUUCCCGGGCCUUGUACACACCGCCCGUCAAGCCAUGGAAGCCGGGGGUACCUGAAGUUCGUAACCGCAAGGAUCGACCUAGGGUAAAACUGGUAACUGGGGCUAAGUCGAAACAAGGUA